GGCGAGAGACCGAUAGCGAACAAGUACCGUGAGGGAAAGAUGAAAAGAACUUUGAAAAGAGAGUUAAACAGUACGUGAAAUUGUUGAAAGGGAAACGAUUGAAGCCAGUCGUACCUAUGGGUAAUCAGCCUUUUGGGUGUGAUUUUGUGGAGCGUGAGGAGUUAAACGCCUUCAUGCCUGCAUAUUCGUGCACUUUGGGUGUAUUUGCCCGUGUGUAAGUUAACAUCAAUUUUGGUGGUCAUAAAA
rnacentral:rRNA from 1 species